rnacentral:rRNA from 1 species
AGUGAACGCUGGCGGUAGGCCUAACACAUGCAAGUCGAACGGCAGCACAGUAAGAGCUUGCUCUUACGGGUGGCGAGUGGCGGACGGGUGAGGAAUACAUCGGAAUCUACUUUUUCGUGGGGGAUAACGUAGGGAAACUUACGCUAAUACCGCAUACGACCUACGGGUGAAAGCAGGGGAGCUUCGGACCUUGCGCGAUUGAAUGAGCCGAUGUCGGAUUAGCUAGUUGGCGGGGUAAAGGCCCACCAAGGCGACGAUCCGUAGCUGGUCUGAGAGGAUGAUCAGCCACACUGGAACUGAGACACGGUCCAGACUCCUACGGGAGGCAGCAGUGGGGAAUAUUGGACAAUGGGCGCAAGCCUGAUCCAGCCAUACCACGUGGGUGAAGAAGGCCUUCGGGUUGUAAAGCCCUUUUGUUGGGAAAGAAAAGCAGCAGGUUAAUACCCCGCUGUUCUGACGGUACCCAAAGAAUAAGCACCGGCUAACUUCGUG